GAAUGGAAAAUUUGUCUCAACUUGUUGCCAGCCUUCGGGAAACUCGACCAUAUUAAUUAUGCUUUUUAACUGCUUUGAGAACUGUUUAGAAACUAUCGAAAUGCAACCAGAACUCUCGAGGGUGCUAUUUCAGUGCUUGGACCAGGGAGUAAAAGAAGUGAAUCACGAAAGAAAUUUCAUAAUGACGUCACCGGUGAACAAUAACGUGGGUUGGUCCAAUGUACGCACUGCUGGGUCAUUUAUACAACAAAGACGGGAAGUUUAUUGUACAGUCACGGCUACUAAGCGUAAUAAACAAUGAAACUGCUUCGCACACCGUUUGAGAGUAAACACGCGAAUAUUACUGGCGUCAUAGUUACCAUUAAGAUCCGAUUACAGGGUCCAGUAGUACCAAAGUCUGUAACCUCUUAAAGCCCACAACCUCCUAAAUCUAUCAAUAUACAACAGAAUUAUACUUUUCCAGAUGUAUCCAACCGUAAGACGUUCAGAAGUAGACGUAUGAAUACUAGUUGCCCCAUACUUUCCAUUAAGGUCCGAUUGCAGGGUCCAGGAGUACUAAGGUGUAUCCAACCGUAAGACGUUCAGAAGUAGACGUAUGCAUACUAGUUGCCCCAUAGGUUUCAUUAAGAUUCGAUUCCAGGGUCCAGGAGUACUAAGGUGUAUCCAACCGUAAGACGUUCAGAAGUAGACGUAUGCAUACUAGUUGCCCCAUAGGUUCCAUUAAGAUUCGAUUCCAGGGUCCAGGAGUACUAAGGUCUGUAAUCUCUUAAAGCCCACAACCUCCUAAAUCUAUCAAUAUACAACAGAAUUAUUCUUUUCCAAGUGUAUCCAACCGUAAGGUGUUU